UACGGGGGGGGCAAGCGUUGUCCGGAAUCAUUGGGCGUAAAGCGCGUGUAGGCGGCCCGGUAAGUCCGCUGUGAAAGUCCAGGGCUCAACCCUGGGAUGCCGGUGGAUACUGUCGGGCUCGAGUCCGGAAGAGGCGAGUGGAAUUCCUGGUGUAGCGGUGAAAUGCGCAGAUAUCAGGAGGAACACCAAUGGCGAAGGCAGCUCGCUGGGACGUGACUGACGCUGAGACGCGAAAGCGUGGGGAGCAAACAGG
rnacentral:rRNA from 1 species